GGGGGAUGGGAUCGGUCGCUCGUUUUGGCAAGUCGAGCGGUAUAGAGCAAUAUAUUGUUUUCUCUUGAGAGCGGCGGACGGGUGAGUAUUGCCUAGGAAUCUGCCUGGUAGUGGGGGAUAACGUUCGGAAACGGACGCUAAUACCGCAUACGUCCUACGGGAGAAAGCAGGGGACCUUCGGGCCUUGCGCUAUCAGAUGAGCCUAGGUCGGAUUAGCUAGUUGGUGAGGUAAUGGCUCACCAAGGCGACGAUCCGUAACUGGUCUGAGAGGAUGAUCAGUCACACUGGAACUGAGACACGGUCCAGACUCCUACGGGAGGCAGCAGUGGGGAAUAUUGGACAAUGGGCGAAAGCCUGAUCCAGCCAUGCCGCGUGUGUGAAGAAGGUCUUCGGAUUGUAAAGCACUUUAAGUUGGGAGGAAGAGCAGUUACCUAAUACGUGAUUGUUUUGACGUUACCGACAGAAUAAGCACCGGCUAACUCUGUGCCAGCAGCCGCGGUAAUACAGAGGGUGCAAGCGUUAUUCGGAAUUACUGGGCGUAAAGCGCGCGUACGUGGUUAGUUAAGUUGCCCGUGAAAUCCCUGGGGUUUUUAACCUGAGCGGCGUUCUCUCCUGACGGACUAAAUUAUGGGAUAGGGUGGCGCCUAUAAAGAUCUCGGCGCCCCCCAGGUAGUUGACAACUUUUAAAG
rnacentral:rRNA from 1 species